GGGCGACCUGACCCUUAUGAAGCUAAAAAGGGUGUCCUGAUAUUUUCCUGGCCAAGUCAAAUACUGUAACUACUAGCGACUGCUCGAUUUUUGUUGUUGUAUGCCUUAAGUGUGUGUGUGUGCAAAUGAAAUCUGUCAGCUUUGGGAUGUUUUUUAGUGAAUAUGGGUGCUAGAGUGAGCUGAACCUUUGCAAGCCUCCUAACUGCUAAAGGGAUGCAAAGGGCUGCCUCUGCCUCUGCCAAAGUACACACGCACACGGGGAUGCGUACGUCUGUACCGCAGCCACGAUGAGCAGCCUGUCGCUUUCCCUGCAGUUUGGAUAUGCUUCAUCUGGAGCUCAGGGGUCUGCAGUGAGGAUCACUUGGACUUGUAUUUUUGUUGGCAAGGUAGCCCCUCACUUCCAGGGAGAGUUCAGCACGUUUUCCGAGGUCUUGAGCUUUGUGUUUGACUUUCAGAUUUACAGUCCUGCCUGAAGAUGAGAACCCCAGUCUCUCCCAUCCGCAUGUGUAUGCUAUGCCAUGGCACAGGUUUAACUCUCAUCCCCCCCCCCCAACCCGACUUCUGGACGAGAUGUAGACGAUGUGGGGUCUGAAUUUCAAUUUUGAGACGAGUCAAAUCUAUCAAAAGUAACAGCAAAUAUUCAGAGCUGGGUUGGAUCUUCUACAUGUUUGCAGAGGUCCUCAAUAUUUGAAGUUCUAAGCAACAACAUCUAUGAGGCCAUAGAUGCUGGAAGAUGGUUAAGCACUUCACUAGCUUAAGGCAGUAACUGGUCACUUUGAUUUUAUGUUUCAUUACCAAAAUGUUUUACUGCAGUUUUACUCAGGUACUUGAACUUAAACAAAGUUUGUAAGCAGCUAAUUAUAUCAUGGCCCUGUCAUUGUCUGUUGUAACUGCAGAUCCUCCAUACUUCUGAAAAUAAUCUAUCCCAUGGUACGCCAUAUAUUAGGACUUUAAUGUACUCUGCUGCAACAUAUCUUGUACAAUACAAUUCACAAAAAGUGUUUUAGGUUUUGUGUACAGUUUAAAAUUCUUAUCAUCUUUGCACAUUAUUUGGGGAAAAAAACCCUGAAAGGCAUAAAAAUGAUGUAUACAUAUAGUUUUUAAUUACUUAUUAAUUAUUUUUUCCAAGAACUGAGGUUGCAAAAUUGUGCUGAAGUUCAGGGAAUGUUUGUUUUUAAAACAAAAACCUUCAGAUUUUCAAUAAAGUUUGAUAACUUCAA